AGAUGACUCAUGAACCAAUUCUUUAAUCACUAGCUGAAAACGACGUUUUGAAUUUACACAAACGUCAAAUAACAAAUACAACAUUCUACUUUCUCAUGAAUAUGGUAUAGUGCAUUGCUUAAUCAGCAGUUUUUCUUAGAAAGACAAGAUAUUUAAAUUGAAUGAAUUUAAUGAAACCACACAUCAAGCUAUCUUUUCUAACAGAACAUUAAAUUUAGCAUUAGCUCCCAGUUCCAGAAAGUUCUAGCCAGACAUUCAGGGGGAAAGAAUCAGAACAAAAUGUAAAAUAAAAAAAGUAGUGAAAGAUGAAAGUGAAGGAAUAAACGAGGGGUUUGUGUCUUAGUUGUUGAGUAAUUAAAAACUAAAAAAAAAGCUGUGAGAUUCAGCGUUUGUCACAACGAUGCCAAACGCUCUCCCGACUAUUUCUUUGGGAUUGUUCCCAAACUGAGAAAUCAAGGUUCUUCAGUCAUGCUUCCCCCACAAUCAAGCUUUGGAGUUGACUCCAUAUUCACAACGACUAUAGAGUCGACUCCAAAGCUUGAUUCCUUUGAAUCGACUCUAUUCCCAUUACCUGGUAUCUACGAAUUGACACCAGGUAUUAGGAAUCGCCCUGUUAAUCAUGAUAAUGAUCCUAUGUACUUAAUACUGUGGGUUGUUCCCCUAACCUUUAAUUCGAGAUUUGUGCUGAAUCGAUUCUUGGAACAGACUCACUCAGCGUUGCAAUCGAUUUCAGAAUAUUAGCAAGGGUUUGAAUCGUUAUCAUUUCCCUUGCUUCCAUUUGUAGGAAGCUGCCUUAAUCAUGAUGUACCCAGGCUACGCAGGCAGGACCGAGCUCCGGGACAACCUGGAGGCCGCUUCAGAUCCGUCUACAUGAUUGUGCCCGACCACGCCGUCAUCGCAGAGGUGUGCUCGGGUGCCGUCAUUCAUUACAUUAUGUAAUGAACGCAAUAACGGAUGUAUUCUGGCGUGUUACAGAACUGUUUCACGUUGUCUUUUUUGCUGUAGGUGGACUUGUGAGCUGAGGGCUUCAAGUCCAGUGAGACUCUGGCGAAGAAGAUGAUUCAGCUGUAUAAGCUGUGCAGCAAGCAGCUUUCCCGGCAGGACCACUACGACUUCAGCAUGAGAGUCGUCAACUCUGUUAUCGUCAUGGCCGGGUCUCUGAUGCGAGAGAACCCACACCUGAGUGAGAACGUGGUGUUGAUUAGAGCGCUACGAUACUCCAACCUGCCCAAGUUACUCAAGGAUGACGCAGAACUUAAAAUAAAAUAAAUUGAUAAAUAGUAAAGAACGCCAAAGCUUACAUAUGGAGUAUCAAAGGUCAUUAUCACAGGAUCACUGGAAUCAGGAGGAAAUAACCCUAACCCUAGGAGGAAAUUCCAGGACAAAUUAGGAAAUACAAUUAACUGACAUUUGCAAAUUCUUUGCAACUAAAAAGCUGUAAUUAUAUAACUUUUUUUAAAAGCAUUUAAAGUAUAUAACAUUAGCACCUUGUAAUGUUAUACCAGAUGAAAAGUAAAGAAUCCUGGAACAUCUGAACAUCCAUAAUCUGAAAAUCUUGAGCCUAGAGUCAAUCGAGUCAAUCCAAUCUUUCUUGUGUGCGUUUAACGGUAUUCUGUCGGACCUCUUUCCUGGUGUGGGCGUCCCCGAGCAUGACUACGGCGCGCUUUAGUCGAACAUCGAGGCAGCUCUAUGCGCCCGCUCCCUGCAGCCCGUCUCCAGCAUGACCGCCAAUGUGAUCCAGCUGUAUGAGACCAUGCUGGUGCACCAGGGCGUCUUGCUGGUGGGCCCUACAAGAGGCGGUUAGACCACGGCGUACCGUGCCCUCGCUGACCCACUGCGCACCCUCCACGAGACAGAGGGCUGCGAGGUGAAUCCCUUCUACAAGCCCAUCGAGACCGACGUGCUCAACCCACAGUCAGUAAGCUUGGACGAGCUGUAUGGUGAAGACGACCCUCUCACACGGGAUUGGAGUGCCAUCAAACCGUCCCUCGGCAGUGACACCGCCGACACGCACAAGUGGGUGGUGAGUGACGUACCUGUGGACGUGCCUGUGGAUUGAGAAAAUUACCCCCGUGUUGGACAACAACAAGACGCUCUGUCUGGCUAACGGUGAAAGGAUCAAGCUCACACCUUCUACACACAUGUUAUUCGAGGUGUUACCCAUCAGAGACAGGUAGCACUGGUCCUAAAAACCAUCACAAACAAGCACAAGCAUGUCAUUUCCAAGAAGAUUUUUUUUUUUACAUUAAACGUGUUCCUGAUGGAAAGGUCACACAUAAACGUAUCUUUAAGACUUCACUCUUUCACACGCCUAUAACGAGCGAUAAACGCAUUCGAAGCAUGUUAUAAAGCCUCCGUAAUGCAUUACGCAUAGUAUUUAAAUAAAUAUUAUUAUAAUAACA